GACGAACGCUGGCGGCGUGCUUAACACAUGCCAGUCGAACGGAAAGGCCCUGCUUUUGUGGGGUGCUCGAGUGGCGAACGGGUGAGUAACACGUGAGUAACCUGCCCUUGACUUUCGGAUAACUUCAGGAAACUGGGGCUAAUACCGGAUAGGAGCUCCUGCUGCAUGGUGGGGGUUGGAAAGUUUCGGCGGUUGGGGCUGGACUCGCGGCUUACCGGCUUGUUGGUGGGGUAGUGGCUUACCAAGGCUUUGACGGGUAGCCGGCCUGGGAGGGUGACCGGCCACAUUGGGACUGAGAGACGGCCCAGACUCCUACGGGAGGCAGCAGUGGGGAAUAUUGCACAAUGGGCGGAAGCCUGAUGCAGCAACGCCGCGUGCGGGAUGACGGCCUUCGGGUUGUAAACCGCUUUCGCCUGUGACGAAGCGUGAGUGACGGUAAUGGGUAAAGAAGCACCGGCUAACUACGUG
rnacentral:rRNA from 1 species